UUGCGUUAGGGAUUGUAGUGGAAAUCCUUUUUUGGUAAAGCCCCCCUUUCAGAGGGGAGCUUUACCAAAAAAGAUUGCAACGGAAAUCCCGACCCGUA
rfam:Flavobacterium branchiophilum FL-15, complete genome.